ensembl:lncRNA
CUCACUUACACAUUUCCCCUUCCGUAUCCGUGCAUCAUUGGUAGAAACAUAGCGUUAAAAGUUUUUCUCUUUCUGCCAAAGGGUCUGAACCCAGGCUGCCUCGUUGUCAGCCUCAUGGACCUCUGAGAGCGAGCUCUCUGGGGUCCCAGGAACGUCUGACGUCAAACCGUCUUAGAGAAGGCGUCUUCAGGAAGUCUUAACGAAGGCCUCUGAGUCAAAACGCCUUGAAGAAGGCGUCUUUAGGAAGUCUUAACGAAGGACUCUGAGGUCGAGCCCCAGUCUUAACGAAGGCGUCUUUAGGACGUCUUAACGAAGGACUCUGAGGUCGAGCCCCAGGCUUAACGAAGGCGUCUUUAGGACGUCUUAACGAAGGACUCUGAGGUCGAGCCCCAGGCUUAACGAGGUCUAGAAGCCAUUAACUCACCUGGUGCAGCGUGGCCGCGGGCUCCACAGGAGGUCGGCUCUGGGUGUGGCGGUCGACGACUCCCGACCGGAACCUCCGAGGGCAGGAACCCUCACCCUCACCCAGCAGCUGACACCUGACUGACCCCCCGUCCCCCGCGCUGGGCUGAGCUGCUCCUGGCAGGGGGACCCGGG